CUUUCCUUGAUGACGACUGGCGCACGGGUGAGUAACGCGUAUCCAACCUUCCCAUAACUACGGGAUAACCCGUUGAAAGACGGCCUAAUACCGUAUGAUAUCGUUUGCUGACAUCAAAUAACGAUUAAAGGUUUAGCGGUUAUGGAUGGGGAUGCGUCUGAUUAGCUUGUUGGCGGGGUAACGGCCCACCAAGGCAACGAUCAGUAGGGGUUCUGAGAGGAAGGUCCCCCACAUUGGAACUGAGACACGGUCAAACUCCUACGGGAGGCAGCAAAC
rnacentral:rRNA from 1 species